GCUUUACAGCUGCUACUCAAAAAAGGUCUGUGGGAUGUGUUUGAUCCCGUUUCUGCUGCGGGAACGUGAGUACUAUUAACGUGCGGAGACCCCGCCAAGCCUUAGAAGACAGCAAAAAUCAGAAUCAUAAGUCAUACUCGGGUCCCCAGGACUGCCCCAAGCAUCCGCCUGCCAGCUCCCUGACACAGGACACAUAACACAGACCCCAAAGCGAGAGAAACAAGAGCCUUGAAGCAUCUUCAGAAUGAUGCUUUGGCCGCCUCUUUUCUCCCCCCUGUCCUGGUCUCUUUCAGCUUCAGACACCUCAAAAGGAGCGUCUUCCUCGCUCAACUUCCCUGGCACGAAACAAGCCGUCCCUUCUCAUACGUCGUGUGUCCAGUCUCCAUUUUAACAUCAAGUCAGGGAAGAAAACAGAAGACAUUUCUAGCGGAAUGCCACUCCAGCGGCUCUUCAUCUCAAAAGCAGCCUGUUUAGAGACUUCCAGCAGGCUCACCGCCUUUCUUUCCCUUUCUUCCUCCCCUGAUUUCUUGUGUGAGCACAGCUGUUGCUUAGCAAUCCAAAAGGAGCCCUUUCCUGAGUCCUGCUGACACGCCUCAACGUGCCCCCGACCCUGCGACACCAGCUCAAUGUGGUCACUCCGAAACCAACGGUGCUAAGAAACUUCGAGGUGAUUUUGAACUUGGAGGAUCUGCGGGGUAUUCGCCUCUUCGCCCCGCGCCACACCACCCAGCUGAGCAUCGUCUUCAGGCUACCCUGCGGGGGCGCAGGAUGCUCACAGGCUUUCAUGGGGAAUGGAAGAGUUCGAAACAACGUCAGAAGAGAGGCCAUACGCUGCUUGAUCUUCCUGUAGUGAAACCUCUGACAGCCCUCACACAGAGCCGUGCCAACCAAGAGAUGCCUUCGUGGAUGCCCAGGCCCCACCGCCUGCGGGGUCCCCCACCCACCCAGGAGCUGUCAGCGUGUUUGAAGCUGCCUCCACACAUAAAUUCAUGGACCAGCUGUCUCUUUUAGUCUGCUCGCAAGAUGAAACCAUUAAUAGAUGUCAGACGCAUUGGCAAUGAUCUCUUCAUUAAUAAUUUCCUCCUUUCUGAGGGGAAAAAAAAUUAGUAACAAGGAACCAUCAAUAAUUCAGAAAUACAAGUUAACCUUUCUAUUAGCAGAGUCGCCGUGCACACAGUACAUACCCAGAGCCAGGAGUUCUGGAUCGAGUCGUGUUUUGAUGGUAGGGAUAUUAAUAUGCAUUGAUGCUGUCUGUCAAGACAGAAUAUAAAUAACCCAACCGUAGCUUAGAACUCACGGCUGUGCUUCAAGUGCGACCUUCUGACCCAGCCACUUGGUUCUGGAGAGGCAGGAAUCAGCCAAUCAUCUUGCUGUCUAAGAGAAAGGCCUCUAUGAAGAAAUCCAUUUUUAGCUGGAGGUCCCUGUGACGAGAAAGAUUUCCCCUAUGCCCAACCAGCCCUGCUGCAGGAUGAUCCCCUCCUGCCUGCCUAGGGUUCUUCCUCCUGUGAACAGGCAGCCUGGACUUAAAACACUCAGACUUCUUUGAGAGGUUGGAUAGGUUCCAGGUAAGCACUCCAAUUCCAUACACCCCAGGCCUGCCCUGCCUGGCUCCUUGGUGCAUUUGAAUGACACCCUCCCCAGGAGGUCUCAGCACCUGCCCUUCCUCACCCUCCAUUCACUAUCCCAGCCACCACAAGCCAGGUACUUUCCCUCUCCAAAUCUGUUUCCCCAUCUGUGAAAUUGAAGUGAUUAUCCCCACCUCACUGAGCUGAUGUGAGAGUUAAGAAGGUAAUGAAUGUGAACACACCUAGCACAGGGUCUGGUCCACUCAAGAGAUCGGUCUCUUCCUUCUCUAGAGUCCGAGAUUCACUCUCCUACCCAAACUUGACUCCUAGGCCAACUCUCCCAGACACCUGGAUGGCAGCGUAGCACGAAGAGCCAGCUGCCUUCUCCUCGAGCCAAAGCAUGGGUACGCGGUCCAGACCAUUGGCGAGAAGACCUGGGCAUCCUGAAUUUACAGCUCGGACUGCAUCUCUGCAUCUCGCCCAAGGGGAGUCUAUGAAGCAGCUGCUUCUCUUAAUUAAAAAGGAAACAGAAGGGUGAGCCACCGAGGCUUGGCACUCAUUCCCCUGGACACUGCUGGACAAUGGGGGAUGUCCCCACCAACAGGGGACCUCAGCCUCAGCUCAGGCUGGGAGACCACACAGCACACUGGGGACAGGGUCAUGUCUGGGUCUUGCUUCCAACCAUGUGGCUUUCCUGAUAAAAUUAGGGAGAAAAAGCCACAGUUCACGUGGCAGCCUGGUGUGCCCCAGAGUUGGAUAUGCAAGUAUUUAUUGAUUGACUGUGGUGGGGGGGUUGUUUGUUUGUUUUUGUUUUUUGUCUUGUUUUGUUUUUUGUUUUGUUUUGUUUUGUUUGAGAUAGCCCUGGCUAUCCUGGAACUCACUCUGUAGACCAGGAUGGCCUUGAACUCAGAGAUCUGUCUGCCUCUGCCGCCUGAGUACUGGGAUUAAAGGUACACUCCACCAA